CCUACGGGUGGCAGCAGUGAGGAAUAUUGGUCAAUGGCCGGAAGGCUGAACCAGCCAUGCCGCGUGAAGGUCAGUGCCCUAUGGGCGUUAAACUUCUUUUGUGCGGGAGCAAUAAUGGUCACGUGUGGCCAGACGAGAGUACCGUACGAAUAAGCAUCGGCUAACUCCGUGCCAGCAGCCGCGGUAAUACGGGGGAUGCAAGCGUUAUCCGGAUUUAUUGGGUGUAAAGGGAGCGUAGACGGCCAUGCAAGUCAGGGGUGAAAGCCCGGGGCCCAACCCCGGGACUGCCCUUGGAACUGCAUGGCUAGAGUGCGGGAGGGGCAGGCGGAAUGCCUGGUGUAGCGGUGAAAUGCGUAGAGAUCAGGAGGAACACCGGCGGCGAAGGCGGCCUGCUGGACCGCGACUGACGUUGAGGCUCGAAAGCGUGGGGAGCGAACAGGAUUAGAUACCCGAGUAGUC
rnacentral:rRNA from 1 species